AUAACACUUGGAAACAGGUGCUAAUACCGCAUAACCAUCAAAACCGCCUGGUUUUGAUGUUAAAGAUGGUUCUGCUAUCGCUUUAAGAUGGACCCGCGGCGUAUUAGCUAGUUGGUGAGGUAAUGGCUUACCAAGGCAAUGAUACGUAGCCGAACUGAGAGGUUGAUCGGCCACAUUGGGACUGAGACACGGCCCAAACUCCUACGGGAGGCAGCAGUAGGGAAUCUUCCACAAUGGACGAAAGUCUGAUGGAGCAACGCCGCGUGAGUGAAGAAGGUUUUCGGAUCGUAAAACUCUGUUGUCAGAGAAGAACGUGUGUGAGAGUAACUGUUCACGCAGUGACGGUAUCUGACCAGAAAGUCACGGCUAACUACGUGCCAGCAGCCGCGGUAAUACGUAGGUGGCAAGCGUUGUCCGGAUUUAUUGGGCGUAAAGGGAACGCAUGCGGUCUUUUAAGUCUGAUGUGAAAGCCUUCGGCUUAACCGAAGUCGGGCAUUGCAAACUGGGAGACUUGAGUGCAGAAGAGGAGAGUGGAACUCCAUGUGUAGCGGUGAAAUGCGUAGAUAUAUGGAAGAACACCAGUGGCGAAAGCGGCUCUCUGGUCUGU
rnacentral:rRNA from 1 species